CUACACAUGCAAGUCGAGCGGGGUUUUCGGACCUAGCGGCGGACGGGUGAGUAAUGCGUAGGAAGCUACCCGAUAGAGGGGGAUACCAGUUGGAAACGACUGUUAAUACCGCAUAAUGUCUACGGACCAAAGUGUGGGACCUUCGGGCCACAUGCUAUCGGAUGCGCCUACGUGGGAUUAGCUAGUUGGUGAGGUAAUGGCUCACCAAGGCGACGAUCUCUAGCUGGUUUGAGAGGAUGAUCAGCCACACUGGAACUGAGACACGGUCCAGACUCCUACGGGAGGCAGCAGUGGGGAAUAUUGGACAAUGGGCGCAAGCCUGAUCCAGCCAUGCCGCGUGUGUGAAGAAGGCCUUCGGGUUGUAAAGCACUUUCAGCGAGGAGGAAGGGAGUUGUGUUAAUAGCGCAGCUUCUUGACGUUACUCGCAGAAGAAGCACCGGCUAACUCUGUGCCAGCAGCCGCGGUAAUACAGAGGGUGCAAGCGUUAAUCGGAAUUACUGGGCGUAAAGCGCACGUAGGCGGUUUUUUAAGUCAGAUGUGAAAGCCCCGGGCUCAACCUGGGAAUUGCAUUUGAAACUGGAAAACUAGAGUGUGUGAGAGGGGGGUAGAAUUCCAAGUGUAGCGGUGAAAUGCGUAGAGAUUUGGAGGAAUACCAGUGGCGAAGGCGGCCCCCUGGCACAACACUGACGCUCAGGUGCGAAAGCGUGGGGAGCAAACAGGAUUAGAUACCCUGGUAGUCCACGCCGUAAACGAUGUCUACUAGCUGUUCGUGGUCUUGUACUGUGAGUAGCGCAGCUAACGCACUAAGUAGACCGCCUGAGGAGUACGGUCGCAAGAUUAAAACUCAAAUGAAUUGACGGGGGCCCGCACAAGCGGUGGAGCAUGUGGUUUAAUUCGACGCAACGCGAAGAACCUUACCUACUCUUGACAUCUACGGAAGUUUGCAGAGAUGCAGAUGUGCCUUCGGGAA
rnacentral:rRNA from 1 species